GCAUGCUUACAACAUAGCGUUAAUGCACUGGAUCCCAUUAGAACUCCACAGUUAAGCAUGCUCGGGCUCAAGUAGUACUGGGAUGGGUGACCUCCUGGGAAGUAUUGUUAUUUUACAUGCC
rfam:Picea glauca, whole genome shotgun sequence.